rnacentral:rRNA from 1 species
UACGGAGGGUGCAAGCGUUAUCCGGAUUCACUGGGUUUAAAGGGUGCGUAGGUGGGUCUGUAAGUCAGUGGUGAAAUCUCCGUGCUUAACAUGGAAACUGCCAUUGAUACUAUAGGUCUUGAAUUUUCUGGAGGUAAGCGGAAUAUGUCAUGUAGCGGUGAAAUGCUUAGAUAUGACAUAGAACACCAAUUGCGAAGGCAGCUCACUACACGAAUAUUGACACUGAGGCACGAAAGCGUGGGGAUCAAACAGG